GACAGGGCUGUUUCUAAACAGCCCUGAAAGCAAUGUCAGUUAUAAUGUCAGUGUGUUCUGAGGGUUACUUUCGGAAGAUGUGGGGCCUGGUGUUUUAUAUCUGCUCAGAAGCAUGGAGACAACCUGCAGAGGGACUGAGAAGAGGAGUCAGGAUAGCUCAAGAAGCAGGCAGGGUCCAGACAGGCUUUCAGAAAGAAGAUGGGAAGUUUGGAAUCAAGUGGGAGCAAGCUAACUGGUGAGAAUAUACAUCAAAACUGCUAAAGCAACAAACAAUGAGUCACCGUGUCUCAGUGCCGCUCUCUCUUCCCAAUGGAAGCAGCCCAAGGACUUCACUGCAGUUUGUGUCUGUGAACAGCAAAUAGGUUUAGAAAUAUUAUUCCAAUAAACAGUGGCUCUGCUUUAGUCUUGCUUCCGUCCCUAAGGUCUGGCCUCCAGGUUAAGCUUAGGAAUGGAUUUUAUUAAUAAAAGCUGUCCAAAUAGUCUACAGU
rnacentral:lncRNA from 1 species